CACCUCCAAGGCACCAUAGAGUUCAGCGCGCAGAGUGCGGGGGCGGGAAGCAAGGCGCAGGAUGGGGAAGGAAGCGGAAGGGCUCCAGGAGAAGGACGGAGAAAGCAAGUGAGAGCAAGCGCAGGCCGGGAGAGCCGGAAACCAACCGCCGGACGGAAACAAGCCAACCUCCCUUCCCGGAAGAACCCUCGUACUGGCAGGAAGACCUGUCCCCGGUGAUCAAAGGCAUCCUUCUGCAACUACGGGAGCAGAAAGAGGAAACAGGAUGAUGGAUAAGGGAUCAGAAAACCUGCUGGCUACAUCUCUGCAAUUAAGCAUGUCUUGGAGCAAGACUCAAGGAAAUACACAGCUAUGCUCGCUGCCUCAGUUUCCCUGGUUGUUAGCAUGGGGGGCCAUCAAGGGAGUUUGUUCAAGCUGAUUUUGGAGCAACAGAUAGUUUUGACUUGACAACCCCUUCCUCUGCAGACCUCAGCCAUGGCCUUAGAUCCAGGGUGGAUCGCCCCUUCAGACCCUCUCAAAGCGGAUGGGUGUGGAUGAGCCACCCUUGGCAUCAUGCCUUGUGCGUGUGACUCAGACGGUUUCUGCUUGUCUGAAGGAUUCCUGCAAGUCCUCAGAGUUGCCCAACCCCCCUGGGCUCAGCGCUGGAGCCCGUGAGAAACACGCUCAAAUUGAUCUGAAUGCAGAGACUUCAACGCCUUCCCUAGAGGAGCCGUCCUGCCCCGGUUAACCUCUUAGGCAGGAGGUUAGUGCUCAUGGGUACUAGUUCCCUUGUGCUCAUCAUUGGCUUGGCUUCUCCUGCAUCUCCUGGACAAUCCUCUCCUGUACACACCCUCCAGAUCCACAGACCUGCUUAUCCAGUCUCCUGCUUACCUCAGUGUUUG